UUGGGGGGUAUUGGUAGCUCAGAGGAGAACACUUGCCUAGCAUAUAUGAGGUUCUGGGCUCUAUGCAAGCACAGUUCCCUUCCAGUAUUUUCCAUGGAAUCAUGGCAUGCCAGGGGCACACACCUCAGUCUCUGGGCACAUGUAAAAGGUGAAAGCAGCUGUGGUUUCACAAGGCUGCUGGGGGCAUGUGCCACCCUCUCUCCGUGAAAUCAGAGGAAAUGAGGAGGCAGCUGCAGGCUGUCCGCCUACCUCUGCUCCCACCAGCGGCCUCGGCAGCUGCCUGCAGAGGUGAGAGUUGUCAGCAAACUGAUGGGAAACAGCUGGCGUCUUCCUGCCUCUUGUGUUCUCCCAGCUCUAAGCCCACACACAACUACAAGAGCCGCUGCCAGGCCCUUCCAACUGAGCUGCGGGUCUCCUCAGCCGUCACUGUAUAUCCACAGGGUGUAACAGAGAAGAUGACCACGGAGGUAGGGUUUCAGGUCCCAAGGCUGGCGUUGGACUCUUGUUGGGAUUACACGCGUGUGCCACUGGGCCUAUUGAUAGACCUUGGAUGUCCAAGCGGGUUUCUGUCCCUUUCCAAUCCUGUUUUCUCAAACUCACCACAGCGACGGACAUGUCACAUACGUCCAGUUUGAACACCUCCAGAACAGGGUGACUCUGUGAAAGAGGGGGAUCCUGAAAGUAUCCACGGAGAUGCUACUCUGUAAGAACGGUAAGUCAGAGCUGGGGAUUGGGCUCACUGGCAAAGGCUUGACUGAGGCACCCGGGUGCAUCUUUAACACUGGCAGGGCAGGCGGAAGCAAAUGCGGUUGGGUACCACUAGGAAUACAUGGGUGAGUGGAGAGAAUGCCAAAGAGUAAAAGAAGCCUCACCUUUUAAAGUGGUCACCACCUCCCAGCUCAGGCUAGGGACCCGGCUUUCAAUACAUGGGCCUUUGAGGGGCAGUUCAGACUCCAGCGAGCAGAGCGGCCACUCUCCAUACAUCACAGCUCCGCCUGAGAAUCGUGAUGCUGAUGACACACUGCUUCCCUCAACGGCACGAAAUGUUUAGAAUCAACCUAGAUGUAGAAGAAACCCGACAGGCAGCAUGGACCAAAAGGAGAGAAGCUGACCAAGCAUCAGUGGAGGCCAGACUGCUCUGAAGAGGGUGGGGAGGAAAACAGCCUGGGUGAUUUGUCUCAUUUUGUGUAUUUGUUGUGUGUCUACACAUGUACAUGACAACACGAGCAUGUGUGUGUUCAGGCACAGUGGAUGCCACACCAUGACUUCCUGUAUUGCUCUCCACACUGUUCCCCUGAGAGAGUCUCCCUGAAACUGGAGCUAGCCUGGCAACCCCACGAUCCUCCUCCACAGUGCGGAGUUAAUGGCAGCUCUGGUGACCUUGCCUGGCUUUUUAUCUGGAUUCCUCAGGAUCUGACUCUGUCUCAAAGCCAGUGCUCUUACCCACCGAGUCAUCUCAGCCCAAACAUAGGUGAAUUCAGAAGCAGGGUCUGGGUUCUAGUCUGUAAUCCUGAAGACAAAAGCACUGGCUGGCUUGGGGAGACUGAGGGGAUGGUUCCUGUGGUAACAGGCAUGCUUCCCGAGCAUCAGAACCUGAACUGAUCCGUAGCACCACAUAGAACCUGGGUGUUCAUCCGUAGAUUAGCAGUGCAGACAGGUGUGUGUGGAGAGUGGCCACUCCCUGAAGUAUACAUAUCCUCAGGCCACUGAAGUCUGAAAUGUCCCUUGAGGAUUUGGUCCCUCCCUGUGGUGCUAUUGGGAGGUGGUGACACCUUUAAAAGGCGGGGCCAUGGAAGGGACUUAGCUCAUCAGGAAAGUGAUGGUUCAUCAACUGGACAGCUUCUGGGAUCCCCUAGGAGACACACCUCUGGGUGUGUCUGAGAGGUGUAGCUGAGAUGGGUGACGUGCCGCCAGAGACGGGAGACACGAAGGUCCCUCUGGCUUGCUGGCCAGCGAGUCUUCAUUGGCGAGCUCCUGGGUUCAGUGAGAGACCCUGUCUCAACAGCUAAGGUGGAGAGCAAGAGAAGAAAACCAAGGAGACAUAAUAACUACAUGUAACGUGGGAUCCCGGAACAAGAUACACAGGGAAACAGAGGCUAUUAGUUGCAAAAUUGAAAAGAGAGGUGGCUAGGAAUUCUCCACACUGUUCUUCAAGGCUUCCUGUAAUUCUAAAAUUAUUGCAUAACAAAAGAUAAAGAAGUCAAGAUGGAUUGCUGGGUGGGCAGAUGCACCCAUGGUGUUUUAGUAAAGCACUGCAUUAAACAUCAACUGAAACUGGGUGGUGGUGCACGCCUUUAAUCCCAGCACUUGGGAGGCAGAGGCAGGCAGAUCUCUGUGAGUUCAAGGCCAGCCUGGUGUCCAGAGCGAGUGCCAGGACAGGCUCCAAAGCUACACAGAGAAACCCUGUCUCGAUAAACUGACUCAAACCAAACCAAACCAAACCGAAACAGAACAAAACCAUCAACUAAGCUGAGUGUGCUGGUGGACACCUGCAAUCCCAGCACUUGAGAAACUUAGGCAAGAGAAUCAGGAAGUAAGGUCAGCCUGAAUUACAUAGCAAAUUCAAGGCCUGGGCUACAUGAGAUCCUGUCUUUAAAAAUUGUAAACAAACAGAGCUAACUAUAGAAUUCUGUAGAAUUCUACGGCAAACAAAAAACUGUUCACUGCCUAGCUCUAACAGAUUACCAUACACUCAAAAGUUUUCAAUAACAAACUGUUGAAAAGAGCAAAUUAACAAACUAAACCUAACCUUGAUUUCCUACCCAAGCCUAAGAAGUGUUGUGUGUUCAGCUGCAAAGUUGACAGGAGUAUAAAAUUGUGUGUGAUGAUCCGUGUGACACCACUAAGGAAAAACAGGUUCUCGGCUGAAAAUGAGACCCUCUGAACAUAAACAAUGAGGUAACCAAGGAAACAGUAGAGAAGAUGGUGACCCAGGAAAGAAGGUCUCUCCCCGAGUUAGGCUGGGAAUUCUCAGGAGAGAAUGUUCUGUGAGACGCUGUGCCGCCACCGCCGAGACGGUGGCCCUGAUGACAGACAGGUCCAUGCCACAUCCCGACCCAGGCUGUGCCUGUGGGUACCCACCCUUCCCUCUUAUCAGACAUUGAUUGCAAGAGGGAGGGGCCAGUGGAGUGAGCUAAGUCAGGGCUGGUGUGAGCCGGUACAGUCGCCUUAUUUAAUAUUAUUUAAUUACUAAAUAAACCGAUCUUAUGAAUCAGCCCCACGGUAAAAUGAUGUAACAGGCAAUAAAUCUGCAGUGGUAACCUUUGGUGUUCUGGACAAAUGUACACACUGUAACCCACAUAUUUGUCGUGAGCCGGGGAAGCUGUGGGGCUCUAAUGGAAUACACACAUGUCCCUUGGAGACCAAGAAUCAGAGGCGGGUGAAGGGAAAAACAUGAACUUCAGGCUCUAAAGAUUCACAGAUGAGAAAUGCCCUAUGAGAUAAUUCAGAAAGCGUAUGGUUCCCUGUGUGGGACAGGAAACGCCGAAGGUCCAAUUCAGCCCUCAGAAGAUAUACAUUCGGGGAAAUUUCCAAACCUAGUCCUCCAGGGAGCACGGGGAGAAACCAGCCUAGAAGGUUGAGGCUACAUCAGCUGCAAAAUUUAUCUGGUUCUCCAAGGGGGUUGUGAGUGACCGAAAACUCUGUGACGAAGAAGUCAGUUUCAGAGCCAGAGGAGGUUAAAAAUGAUUUUUCGUGCGACUUAUAGAGUAUCAGACUGGCCUAUGUCAGUCUAGCUCUGAUAGGCCACUCGAGCCAAGACAGAAUUCUGGUGUGUAAUGAUGAAGCUAGGGAACAGAGUAAGAUUUUGCCCAAGACCUUCAAGCGGCACGGCAGAAUCUCUGUGUAUGUGUGUCUGUGUGUCUGUGUGUUUGUGUAUCUGUGUGUGUAUCUAUAUGUUUGUGUGUAUCUGUGUGUAUGUCUGUGUGUGUAUAUCUAUGUGUGUGUAUC